UCUAAGUCUGUGUUUACUGUUUCUGUUUCUCUUUCCAAACAGCCUGUCUAUGAAUCUGGAGACACUUGAGGUGUUUGGAGAGGAUGGUGGACUUAGUGGAGGACAUCCCAGCCACUUGGCAGUGUUGGCACUGCUACUUCCUACCUGACGGCCGAAUGCAGGUGGGCUCGCCGUCAACAUGAGGCUCUUGCUGGUCCCGCUCCAAAAACAUACAGGGGUGAGAAGAUCUAAAUCAGAACUGAGAAAGGUUGUUACGGAGCCCCAUGAGGAACACCUGAUGCUACGCUGACUUCUCUCUCCUGGAUGCUCUCCUGCCCAAACUGUCCUGUUGUGUGUUUCACCGGUCUCUGAACCCCCUUACCUCGAAUAGAGUUGCCCCUGAGCAUAGAUCUAGGAUUGUACCCAAUCCCAGUUUUAACUCCCUCUCCCUCUCUCUCUUUGUCCCCACACACACAGGCAUAGUUUUUAAAUGAGUGUUGUAAGGAUGCUCUUAUUUGGUUACAUACAGUAUGUGUUAACUGUUGUUACUUCUAUUGUCAAUUAUGU